rnacentral:rRNA from 2 species
GAUGAACGCCGGCGGUGUGCCUAAUACAUGCAAGUCGAACGCGUUGGCCCAAUUGAUUGAUGGUGCUUGCACCUGAUUGAUUUUGGUCGCCAACGAGUGGCGGACGGGUGAGUAACACGUAGGUAACCUGCCCAGAAGCGGGGGACAACAUUUGGAAACAGAUGCUAAUACCGCAUAACAACGUUGUUCGCAUGAACAACGCUUAAAAGAUGGCUUCUCGCUAUCACUUCUGGAUGGACCUGCGGUGCAUUAGCUUGUUGGUGGGGUAAUGGCCUACCAAGGCGAUGAUGCAUAGCCGAGUUGAGAGACUGAUCGGCCACAAUGGGACUGAGACACGGCCCAUACUCCUACGGGAGGCGAGCAGUAGGGAAUCUUCCACGAUGGGCGCAAGCCUGAUGGAGCAACACCGCGUGAGUGAAGAAGGGUUUCGGCUCGUAAAGCUCUGUUGUUAAAGAAGAACACGUAUGAGAGUAACUGUUCAUACGUGGACGGUAUUUAACCAGAAAGUCACGGCUAACUACGUGCC